CCUACGGGUGGCAGCAGUGAGGAAUAUUGGUCAAUGGACGAGAGUCUGAACCAGCCAAGUAGCGUGAAGGAUGACUGCCCUAUGGGUUGUAAACUUCUUUUAUAUGGGAAUAACAUGUUCCACGUGUAGGAUUUUGUAUUUACCAUAUGAAUAAGGCUCGGCUAACUCCGUGCCAGCAGCCGCGGUAAUACGGAGGAUCCGAGCGUUCUCCGGAUUUAUUGGGUUUAAAGGGAGCGUAGGUGGAUUGUUAAGUCAGUUGUGAAAUUUGGGGGCUCAACCGUAAAAUUGCAGUUGAAACUGGCAGUCUUGAGUACAGGAGAGGUGGGCGGAAUUCGGGGUGUAGCGGUGAAAUGCUUAGAUAUCACGAAGAACUCCGAUUGCGAAGGCAGCUCACUGGACUGCAACUGACACUGAGGCUCGAAAGUGUGGGUAUCAAACAGGAUUAGAUACCCCUGUAGUC
rnacentral:rRNA from 1 species